GACGAACGCUGGCGGCGUGCUUAACACAUGCAAGUCGAACGGACAGGCCCUGCUUUUGUGGGGUGCUCGAGUGGCGAACGGGGGAGUAGCACGUGAGUAACCUGCCCUUGACUUUGGGAUAACUUCAGGAAACUGGGGCGAAUACCGGAUAGGAGCUCCUGCUGCAUGGUGGGGGUUGGAAAGUUUCGGCGGUGGGGGAUGGACUGGCGGCAUAUCAGCUUGUUGGUGGGGUAGUGGCUUCCCAGGGCUAUGACGGGUAGGCUGCCUGGGAGGGUGACCGGCCACAUGGGGCCUGCGAUACGCACCAGACUCCUACGGGCGGCAGCAGUCGAGAAUAUUGCGGAACGGGGGGAAGCCAGAUGCAGCAGCGCCGGGUUCGGGAUGACGGCCUUCGGGUUGUAAACCGCUUUCGCAUUUGAUGAAGCGGGCGUGACGGUACCGGGUAAAAAAGCACCGGCUAACUACGUG
rnacentral:rRNA from 1 species